UCUUUCACAAGAAGAGAUGGCCAAGUCUGAAUUACAGAUAAAGCAAGCUUCUGACACUCCUACGUUUUCCCCCUCUUAUGUUAUAUACACACUGCCUACUUACCCAUGCUUGUGAUGAGAUAUUAAGGAAGGUCAUUUUCUGACAGUUCAGGAAGCUCAGCAGAUUCUGAAGAUCUCAAGGAGAAAGGAAUUCAUCAACAUUACCUGUACUGCAAGCAAAACUUGGUGGAGAUGAACCUCUUGUGUUUGGUUCAUAACUUGAAAAAGAAAGUUAAAUAUUGGAAGCUUUUAAAAGUUCAUUCCAAUAUUUUUAAUGAAAUCUCCACACAGUUAAAUUCUGUGGAUUUAGUAGGCUUCCAACUUUAUAUAACUCUAGAUUAGAAGACCGUUUAGAAAGGAUAUUUACAUAUGUUACUUAAAGCCUCUUGCCAAAUCUAUAUAGAUGAAACAUUAGACCAGCCUUUUGUGAUAAACAGUAUAAUCUCUGAUGAUUAUUUAUGAUCACAAGGAAAGUCUGUUAAAAAAAAAAAACCUACCCUAAUAUUAUUUGUAAAUAAGGGAAAAGGGUGACUGCAUGCCUUUUCAAUGUCACGCUGGAGCAUUGCCUAAUAGACCCACCCCCAAAUUAUUUCUCGAUAUGGUAUGCUUAAGUUGAUUCACUACUUAACCCAUGAUUAGGCCUGUGCAGUUAUAUGUUUACUCUAACAAGGUUUUAACCAGAGAUUUUGUCUGUUUGUUCUCAGAGAGUUGUCUGUUAGAGAUGCAAACAAUUGUUAUCUGAUAGAAAAGGUUACUAUUUUAUUGCCCUGUAGGACAUUAACCAGUUUUAUGUCUAACUUCAGGUUAUUUCAACAUGCCAUUCUAAGUUGACUAUAUAAAUCUCUUUGAUGCUUUUUGAUGUGGCUUCAUUGUUCUACUGGUUCCCUCAUUAAUGAGUUAAGUAUAUUUGACAUGUUUUCACUAUAUAUUUAUGUGAUUCAUUAUUUUAACUUUUUAAAAAUUAUACUUUGAAUAACAUAUUAGUUUGCAAAGGUAGCAAUGCAGACAUAGUUAUUAGUCCCUAAAUAUCAUAUUUGUAAUUUAAGUAGGGUGCCACCUAGUAUAUGGCAAACAUAGCACUUGAUCGUUUUAAAUUUUUGUAAAUAUGCAGACAUCUUUAUUGAAGUAGCCAAACAUAAUGUUCAUCAAUAUAUUUGGAAUUUGUGCGAUAUUUAAUUAAAGACACAUGCUGUUAA